AUGGACAAUGAGUACUCAAUGGGAUACUAUCUCACCGAUGGCAUCUAUCCCGAAUGGGCAACUCUUGUGAAGUCCAUCAAGGAGAAAAAUGGGGUGCCCUUAACAAGAAAAAAGGCUCAUUUCACCAAGGCACAAGAGGCAGCCCGCAAGGAUAUUGAGAGAGCUUUCGGUGUUUUGCAAGCAAGGUUUGCCAUAGUUCGGGGUCCAGCUCGGUUUUGGGACAAAAAAACCUUGGUGAACAUCAUGAAAUGUUGUGUGAUUCUACACAACAUGAUCCUAGAGGAUGAGAGAGGGUUAAACCUCCCUUGUUUCUAUGACAAUGUUGGUACACGUGUGCAACCGGAAAGAAACCCUUCUCGCACACACGCUUUUCUUCAAGCACACCGUGAGAUUGAGGAUGCAACCACUCAUGGUUGGCUCCGAGAUCAUCUAGUAGAGCACCACUGGCAGUUGGAUGGGCGGUGCAUUGGCCCAUGA
rnacentral:rRNA from 1 species